rnacentral:lncRNA from 1 species
UUCUUCCUUUAUGAUUUGCUGUUUUGCCUUUGUGUCUUGUUUAAGCAUUCCGUUCCUACUUACAUGUCACAAAUAUAUUUUCCUGUAUUUUCUUCUAGAGGUUGUCAAAGAUCUUUAAUGACAUAGGUGUCAUGUUGUGCCUGGUAUAAAGAGGGAAUCUGUAUUAGAAAAGUUCUAUUUUUAAAAAGGACAUAUUAAGGGUAAAUAAAUGAUUCCUUGAAAAAUUUGCUGCUUUAAGGUCAAUGGUCGGUCAUGAUACAGCUCUUUCAUGGAGGUGAUAACUGGUAAUAACAAGUCACAGAACUUAACAUUUACAGAAACAUGUGGACACAUAUAUGGGAAAAUGCACAAAUGAUAAAUAUAUAAUGGACCAAAUUUACAAAGUGAACACACAAAUGUAACCAGCGUUCAGAUCAAGAACUGGAACAUUGCCAAUACCCAAGAAACCAUCUCAUGUCUCCUGGUCACAUCCCUGCCACUCAGUGCUUACAGUUGGAAUCUGUAAAGCAGAGGGAAGAAACUGAAGACGAAAGCCAACCCAACUGAGGACCCACAACAUGUAGUGGGAAAAGAGAGGCCACCACAUUGGAGAAUAUUCUCAGAAGAACCUCAGAGUAACCCCCAGAGCAAAGGCAGCAGUUGCAGAGCAACGAGAAGCCAGUGAGAGAAUGAAAAGAAAAGAAGUGACACAGAUUCAUCUCUCAGCCUCCCUUUGCCCUUCUGAUAGAGAGAUUAGAUAUUAACUUCUCCAUGUCAACAGAAACAUUUUAUUGUAUGUGACUCAACAAGGUUGCUAGAUACAAGAUCGAUUUACAAAUAACAAUUGCAUUUCUGUUUUCUAGGAACAUUUAGAAAACGUAUAAAAUAAAACAUGCCAUGUACAUCAUAG